rnacentral:rRNA from 1 species
GGGUGAGUAACGCGUGGGAAUCUGCCCUCAGGAGGGGGAUAACGGCCGGAAACGGCCGCUAAUACCCCAUAUGCCGAGAGGUGAAAUGAAUUUCGCCUGAGGAUGAGCCCGCGUCUGAUUAGCUAGUUGGUGAGGUAAGAGCUCACCAAGGCAUCGAUCAGUAGCUGGUCUGAGAGGAUGAUCAGCCACACUGGGACUGAGACACGGCCCAGACUCCUACGGGAGGCAGCAGUGGGGAAUUUUCCGCAAUGGGCGAAAGCCUGACGGAGCAACGCCGCGUGAGGGAUGAAGGCCUCUGGGCUGUAAACCUCUUUUAUCAAGGAAGAAGAUCUGACGGUACUUGAUGAAUAAGCCACGGC